CCGGAGCCCAGGCUGUGCCCUGGCUCACGCUGUGCCCUGUCCGGUUCCAGACACGGACGAGUGUGCCGAGUUCCCCUUCGUGUGCCCCCGGGAAAAGCCUCUCUGCAGCAACACCUACGGCGGGUACCGGUGCCGCAGCAACCGGCGCUGCAGCCGGGGCUUCGAGCCCAGCGAGGACGGCACGGCCUGCGUGGCGCAAGUGGCCUUUUUCGGUGGAUACCCCUCUGCAGGGAGCCGGCUCUGGGCCUGGCGCCCCCCGAGCCCCCUCCUCCCGCUGGGCCUCGGACUCUGCCUUCACUUCUAUGCACUUUAACCUUUGCCAAUGACCAGCCAGAGCCAGCCUGUGUGUACGGACUGGACUGUCUCUGCCUCCCUCUGCCUCUCUGUCCCUCUGGCCCCACUCCGGCCCCUCUCCGCCUCUCUGUCCUCCUGUCUCUUUACCCCCGCCCCCAUCCAAUGCCCCUCGAAGCACUGGCUGGGCCGGGGCCAUGUUUGAGCAGGGCACGGAGCCACCCGGGCCACAGCAGCGACCGUGCUAAAGGCAGAGCCCUGUGCCAAUCACCCCUUGCAUGUUUUCUGAGAAAACAGACAGGGAAGCGCCCUGUGACCCCGUCAGUGCCCCCCUCGUGGGAGCUGGCCCUUAACAAGGAUGGUGGCUCCGGGGUAGUUGCUUGCUCAGUCGAAUCGAUUCUGUAUCAUGUGCCUGCUGGUUUGGCCUGCAAGGUUUGCUUUCCCUGCUCCCAUCUCAGCAAUGGAGGACCCCCCCCCCCAAUCACUGUGCGGGAGGACGCCCCCCGCUGUGUUUUCUAGGAUAUUGACCCCCCUGUCUGGAGUUGGACCCGGCUCAGUCUUCCAGCCCCUCCCCAGAGAAGCGACCCAAUAAACUCUAUACUGUCAAUUU